GAUUGUAAUUUCUUCUCUACAGUUCGCGGCUG
rnacentral:ncRNA from 1 species